rnacentral:lncRNA from 1 species
UUUAGUCAAGCUAGGAGAGGUGAGGUAAUGUGUGGUAAUGGGAACAAGCAAUCUAGCAACUUGGGAAAAUGCCAAAAUACCACUGUUAAUGGCAGUUAGCAUGCUAAUUUAUGAACCGCAAGCGCACGAUCAGUUGUAGCUCUUCCCUUAGAGUAAUCCCCCAAGGUUUAUCAAUCUGUGGAAUAAGUGGAUUUGCACGCUUAACUAAGCACUAAUCUAUCUACGUAACCGAAGGUUCUUUGCAUAAGAUAGGAUUGAACUAACAAAAGAACUAAGCGAUCUAGAUUAAAGUAGAUAAAGAGUAUGGAUGUAAAAAAGAUAGAUAAAAUGCUUAUCCUAGGGAUGCAGGAUCACUUGCAGAUACAAUUACCAUGCAUAAAAGAACUUGAAAGUGCAUUUGGCCCCCUAAGUGGGUUUUGGUGUUGAUGAUGUGCACAAUUAUGGGACUAACACGCUUAUCGAGUGUUUAAAAGAUUUUAAGGUCAAGAGAAGGCAAAGGUAUACAAAAUAAUUCUAAAAGAAGCACAACAUACAAAGGCAAGACGGCAUUGAGCUCAAAAGAAGAUUUAAUUCAUCUUUUCUAUUUUGAAUUUAAGUUUAGGAAC